rnacentral:rRNA from 1 species
AGGGAAAGGCGAAAAGAACCCCGGCGAGGGGAGUGAAAAAGAACCUGAAACCGUGUACGUACAAGCAGUAGGAGCCCCACCACCAAAGCGUUUCGCUUUGCGUGGUGCGCAAAAUGCGUAACGACAGCGCGAUGGACGGUUAACGGAGCGUAAGCGACGUUCAACAUCAAAAAUCAGGCAGUGGAGCGUUUUGGGGUGGGGUGACUGCGUACCUUUUGUAUAAUGGGUCAGCGACUUAUAUUCUGUAGCAAGGUUAACCGUAUAGGGGAGCCGCA